UGGGGGAUAUUGCACAAUGGGCGAAAGCCUGAUGCAGCGACGCCGCGUGGGGGAUGAAGGCUUUCGGGUUGUAAACCUCUUUCGCUAUCGAACAAGGCCCGCUUAGGGUGGGUUGAGGGUAGGUGGAGAAGAAGCGCCGGCUAACUACGUGCCAGCAGCCGCGGUAAUACGUAGGGCGCGAGCGUUGUCCGGAAUUAUUGGGCGUAAAGGGCUUGUAGGCGGCUUGUUGCGCCUGCUGUGAAAACGCGGGGCUUCACUUCGCGCGUGCAGAGGGUACGGGCAGGCUUGAGUGUGGUAGGGGUGACUGGAAUUCCAGGUGUAGCGGUGGAAUACGCAGAUAUCUGGAGGAACACCGAUGGCGAAGGCAGGUCACUGGGCCAUUACUGACGCUGAGGAGCGAAAGCAUGGGUAGCGAACAGG
rnacentral:rRNA from 1 species